rnacentral:rRNA from 1 species
GACCCCAGGUCAGGCGGGGCCACCCGCUGAGUUUAUCAUAUCAUAUACGGGGAAGGAAUGUCGCAAAAAACGGCAGUGGUUAAUGGAUCUGUGA